UACGUAGGGUGCGAGCGUUGUCCGGAAUUAUUGGGCGUAAAGGGCUCGUAGGCGGUUUGUCGCGUCGGGAGUGAAAUCCACUGGCUUAACUGGUGGCUUGCUUUCGAUACGGGCAGACUGGAGGUAUGCAGGGGAGAACGGAAUUCCUGGUGUAGCGGUGAAAUGCGCAGAUAUCAGGAGGAACACCGGUGGCGAAGGCGGGUCUCUGGGCCGAUACUGACGCUGAGGUGCGAAAGCGUGGGGAGCAAACAGG
rnacentral:rRNA from 1 species